AAGAUGGUUUCUGUUUUAUAUGAAAUAUACAUUUCAGUCUUCAGACGUUUCUAAUCCUUUUGUAAAUGUUGCCUAUAUUAUCAUAUUAGAUAACACAAUGUAGUCUAAUAUAUGAUAAAUGGGUACUGUAGAUAGACAGAGGAAAAAAGGUUCAUGUUGACGAAUAGAUACUAUAAAUCUGUAUGUUGUCUGUAUGUUUUUCAUACAUUACAGCUCCAUACAUACAUAUAUUAUGUAUAUAUUUUAUAUAGUUAAAAAAUGCUGUGUGUACUAUAUUUAC